rnacentral:lncRNA from 8 species
UGGUUUUGCCCUGUGAGACGUAACUCUGGCCUCGAUGCCACUGUUGUGCCAAAAGUGGGCAGAAAGAAACUGGCUUGUGAUCGACCCUGCUGUCCUGCUCUGUGGACUAGGGGCUUGGAACGAGGCCGAAUAUUCAAACCCAGACCUAUUGAAAUGCAUUCUCCUGGACUGUCCUGCUUUUAAUGAUUGCACAAGACUACAUGAAAUGAACCCGCUUAAGGAGAUAUUCAGCAAAGUGUCGCCAGGAAAAAUGUUUCCAGCAUUUUUCAAAAUAUCUUGUGUUCACUGGAAGAAAAACACAACUAGACUUUGAACAGAAAGACGAAAAGUAAAUGAUGACGCAAUUUGAAGUUUUUGGUGAACUGUCCCUUUAAGCCAGUCCAACCCUGAACAGAUUGCCUGCACUGCAAGCUGGACUA